rnacentral:rRNA from 1 species
UGGGGAAUUUUGGACAAUGGGGGAAACCCUGAUCCAGCCAUCCCGCGUGUGCGAUGAAGGCCUUCGGGUUGUAAAGCACUUUUGGCAGGAAAGAAACGUCAUGGGUUAAUACCCCGUGAAACUGACGGUACCUGCAGAAUAAGCACCGGCUAACUACGUGCCAGCAGCCGCGGUAAUACGUAGGGUGCAAGCGUUAAUCGGAAUUACUGGGCGUAAAGCGUGCGCAGGCGGUUCGGAAAGAAAGAUGUGAAAUCCCAGAGCUCAACUGUGGAACUGCAUUUUUAACUACCGGGCUAGAGUGUGUCAGAGGGAGGUGGAAUUCCGCGUGUAGCAGUGAAAUGCGUAGAUAUGCGGAGGAACACCGAUGGCGAAGGCAGCCUCCUGGGAUAACACUGACGCUCAUGCACGAAAGCGUGGGGAGCAAACAGG